CCUAUGCAAACAGGGUUA
rnacentral:snRNA from 1 species